UACGGAGGGGACUAGCGUUGUUCGGAAUUACUGGGCGUAAAGCGCACGUAGGCGGAUUUGUAAGUCAGGGGUGAAAUCCCGGGGCUCAACCUCGGAACUGCCUUUGAUACUGCAAAUCUCGAGUCCGGAAGAGGUGAGUGGAAUUCCUAGUGUAGAGGUGAAAUGCGCAGAUAUCGGGAGGAACACCAAUGGCGAAGGCAGCUCGCUGGGACGGUACUGACGCUGAGACGCGAAAGCGUGGGGAGCAAACAGG
rnacentral:rRNA from 1 species